rnacentral:lncRNA from 1 species
AGAAACUUUCUGUCAGUGUAACGUCCGCGUGGGUGGUGGGAGACUGAAAGGGAGAACAAAAAAAAUCAAGAUUUUGGGGAAAUUACCCACAGAGAUGCAAGUGCUGGAACCCUGGGAACCCUGGGAUUGAUGUGGUCCCGUCUCCAACCUGCUGUGGAUUCCUUUCCAAGGGUUGUUGGCAGACAGAUGGAACCAGGCAUGGAGGACUUAAAAGACAGCCCCUGGGGGCGGGGAGGGGGCCUGGGAGCUGGGAAGGCACCCCAGGCCUGUUCUGUUUCUGGAAACCUGGCGACAACCCCAUCCCACACCUCUUUCAGGACUCUAAACCGCGCCCAUCCCCCAAGUCCGCCGUCUCCCUGGCCCUUAACCUCACCCCUCCCUCCCCAGCCCGCCCCUCCCAUCACAGGUGUGUCAGUUUGGGCGCUUCUUGGAUUCUACCCUGAGGCGGUGCGUGGUGAGAGGAGAGGUCUGUGUACGUGGGGUGAGGGUCACAGGGUCCAUGAUGCUGGUUGGGGCCCAUAGGGGCCGCCCCGUUGUAGUCCAGGUUCCCCGAGGGGUGGUGGGAAAGGUGAUUGAGGCCGUAGAGGGAGGGGCCGGCAGGGGGCGGCAGCGGAUCCGCGUAGCCACCCCCGCCCACAUACACCGGACUGCCCUGCAUGGUGGGCGUCCCGUAGGCGCCCCCGUUAGCUUGGAGGACGUGGGGCUCAUACUCCGACGCCGGGGUCGGGGGGUACUUCUGUGGGGCGCCGCAACCCUUAAGAGGGGGCUGGUAGUUGGAAGGCAGCGCGUAGGCAUUCUGGUGGCCUUUGCCGAAAGCUGGUGGGGACGGGCUGUCGUAGCUGGGGGUCAUGGAGUGUAAGGCGUUCAUGAAGCCGGCCGUGGACUGCAUGGGCUGCGGGGGGCUUCCGGCCGGAGAGGGACCCCCAGAGGACGAGGCCAGCCCCUUGGCCUUCUGGUCUUUCUUGUACUUCAUGCGACGGUUCUGGAACCAGAUCUUGAUCUGGCGCUCGCUGAGGUUCAGCAGAUUGGCCAUCUCGACCCGGCGCGGCCGGCACAAAUAACGGUUGAAGUGGAACUCCUUCUCCAGCUCCACCAGCUGCGCGCUUGUGUACGCCGUGCGCGCCCGCUUGGACGCGGCCGACCCCGGGGGGCUCUUGUCCCC